rnacentral:lncRNA from 1 species
UUCUAAUAGGGGUAAAUCAUACGAUUGAAGAUCCUUAAUAUUUCGCCUUACAUCUUCAAGAAUUGAAAGCCACACCGAGUCAGAUAUGCCAUCAUAGGUGUAAUCAAGGCCUAAAUGAGAAU